UAGGGAAUCUUCNGCAAUGGGGGCAACCCUGACCGAGCAACGCCGCGUGAGUGAAGAAGGUUUUCGGAUCGUAAAGCUCUGUUGUAAGUCAAGAACGAGUGUGAGAGUGGAAAGUUCACACUGUGACGGUAGCUUACCAGAAAGGGACGGCUAACUACGUGCCAGCAGCCGCGGUAAUACGUAGGUCCCGAGCGUUGUCCGGAUUUAUUGGGCGUAAAGCGAGCGCAGGCGGUUUGAUAAGUCUGAAGUUAAAGGCUGUGGCUCAACCAUAGUUCGCUUUGGAAACUGUCAAACUUGAGUGCAGAAGGGGAGAGUGGAAUUCCAUGUGUAGCGGUGAAAUGCGUAGAUAUAUGGAGGAACACCGGUGGCGAAAGCGGCUCUCUGGUCUGUAACUGACGCUGAGGCUCGAAAGCGUGGGGAGCGAACAGGAUUAGAUACCCUGGUAGUCCACGCCGUAAACGAUGAGUGCUAGGUGUUGGAUCCUUUCCGGGAUUCAGUGCCGCAGCUAACGCAUUAAGCACUCCGCCUGGGGAGUACGACCGCAAGGUUG
rnacentral:rRNA from 1 species